rnacentral:misc_RNA from 1 species
AAGGAUCAUUAACAAAUCUUUCUACAUAACCUGUGUAACUGUCUGUUCCUGGAGUGUGGGUGGAGUGUGUGAGGGCGGCUAUGGGGAGUGCUGCUCUGUUGUGUGUGUUCAUUCAUUGAACACCACACGCACAGUCAACACACACACCAGGACAACUAACAUAACAAACUAUAGUCAGAGCAUCAUAUAUAUAACAUAUACAACUUUUAACAAUGGAUCUCUUGGCUCUU